UUCAUUAAAAUUAUUCAUUAAGAACAAGGUACAUUUGAGGAAAGUCUGACAAGUCCUACCAUAUUUUUAACCUGACGUCAGCAGUAACGAGAUUAGGGAGGAGUCUCGGUUUGCCAGAGAGCAGCGAGUCCCAAACAUGGUGAGGGGCGGACCUCCAACAGUUGCAAAACAAGUCAAUCUUCCGCCAAGGCGCAAGGAAUCUUCUGGUCUCUGUUCUGGCUGCUGCUGAUCCUCUUUCUGGCCUGGCCCGUGGCCUUCACCUUGUGCAGCUUCUACGUCCUGCUGUCGCCCUUCUCGCCCUUCGUGCCGCUCAUUAAGGUCCUCAGCGACAUCCUGCUUCAGGCCGUGCAGCUGCCGCUCACCUGCGCUCAGAACAUGAAGCACAUGAGGCCAUUAUCGUUUUAAUGCUCGGACUGACCUCCCUUUGAUGCUGUGGCGCCACUGGACACAUUGGCUGAGUGACGUCAUGCUAACCGCUUUGCUUAGUGACGUCAACGUGGGCAGCCACUUGGGUUCGAGCCAAGUGGCGGACGUCAGCCUCGCUGGUGGCCAGAUGUUCAGCGGUAUGACGACACUGUGGACACCGGUCUCCUGAAGCCAAGUUCAUUUUAUUGUCUUUUCUCCAAGAUCAGCUACAAGCACAGCCAACAAUUUCAGUGCUUCUCCUCCAUCUAAGCAAAGCCUCUAUGACAAAUAAAUGUAACGCUGCUGUUAAUAUGAAAUAAUAAAUAUACAGCUGUUAAUAUGAAAUGGUAAAUAAAAUGCAGGUGUUAAUAUGAAAGUUAAGGGCUCAGCAGCUUCAUUGUGUCUGUGUCUGUCUCUUGUAUCUAUGUGUCAUAAAAAGCACACAUUUUUGUAGAUAAAUGGAAUUUUAAAAAGCAUAACAGCUCACAGACUGUAUGAGACACGUCAGAGACCAGUUCACAGUGUGGUGGCGCAGUGUUCAUUCAAUGAACGGGCACGUCACUGCAUGCUGUUGCCAUGACUACUCGUGUAACGGGUCAGUUCACUGUCUGCCAGGGCAGUGAUGACACCAGUCACGGAUAAGUGAACUGUGCGUCGGACGAAUGUUCACACCAGUAUGUGGUCAGCUCGCUGCCAACACCCACUGCCCUGACAGUGUGACAGUCUGAAGUAACGGACCCCUUCAUGAGCAUCUUGUCACUGACUUCACUGCAGACAGAGGCGACACCGUCCGUUAGGCACAAAUGACGUGCAACUCUUGCAGCAACACCCACAGGCCUCC